UACGUAGGGGGCUAGCGUUGUCCGGAAUCAUUGGGCGUAAAGCGCGUGUAGGCGGUCCGGUAAGUCCGCUGUGAAAGUCGGGGGCUCAACCCUCGAAUGCCGGUGGAUACUGUCGGGCUAGAGUGCGGAAGAGGCGAGUGGAAUUCCUGGUGUAGCGGUGAAAUGCGCAGAUAUCAGGAGGAACACCGGUGGCGAAGGCGGGUCUCUGGGCAGUAACUGACGCUGAGACGCGAAAGCGUGGGGAGCAAACAGG
rnacentral:rRNA from 1 species